CAAAUCGAUGGUCAAAGUUGGGUAUAGGGGCGAAAGACUAAUCGAACCGCCUAGUAGCUGGUUUCCUCCGAAGUUUCCCUCAGGAUAGCUGGCACAUAGCAAUCAGUUGUAUCAGGUAAAGCGAAUGACUAGAGGGCGCGGGGCUGUAAUAGCCUUGACCUAUUCUCAAACUUUAAAUGGGUACGGAGUGGAUCGAUGCUUGGAUGAUCGGCCACGAGAAUGAGAGUGCCAAGUGGGCCAUUUUUGGUAAGCAGAACUGGCGAUGCGGGAUGAACCGAACGCAUAGCUAAGGUGCCAAAGUGCACGCUCAUGAGAGACCAGAAAAGGUGUUGGUUCAUCCAGACAGCAGGGCGGUGGCCAUGAAAGUCGGCAUCCGCUAAGGAGUGUGUUACGACUCACCUGCCGAAUGAAGCAGCCCUGAAAAUGGAUGGCGCUGAAGCGUGAGACCGAGGCUAUGCCGUCGGGGCGAGAUGGGAGCCUUGACGAGUAGGAGGG
rnacentral:rRNA from 1 species